ensembl:lncRNA
AAUUCUUUAUUUCUCCUUCACUUCUGAAGUACAGUCAUGAGUCACUUAACAAUGGGGAUAUGUUCUGAGAAUGUGAUGUCAGGCAAUUUCGUCAUUGUACAAACAGCAUGGACUGCACUUACACAAACCUAGAUGGUGCAGGUACUACACACCUAGGUUCUGUGGCACUGAUCUCAUGGGACCACUGUCAUAUAUGCUGUCUGUCACUGACUGACAUGUCGUUAUGCAGGGCAUGAAUGUAUAAUUUCAAUGGAUACAAAAUUCAAGAGUGAGACAGGAAGACUAGCAAAGGCUGGGGCUGGAUAUGCUCCUUCCCCCAGGUAGGUUAGGCUCUGUUAAAAUCCAUGUUGGCUACCCAGAGGGAACACCAUGUGAAGACACUGGAAGAACACAACUAUCUACAGGCCAGAAAAGCCUUAGAAGAAAUCAUCACUGCUGACACCUUGACGUCAAACUUCUAAAGACUAAGAGAUGAGACAUCUGCCUCCAAAACUCCCAGUGUAGAAUAGGAACAGAGCCACUACAGUGAAAACCUUCAUUUGGAGCAAAGAGAAUGAGAACCACCCAGGACACCUGGUCAGCUCCUGCUGGGUAGGAACAGCAAAGACCCUCCUGUUACACUGAUUUUUGGAUGUCAAGCCAAUCUUGCACUGCUGGGAUAAAUCCCAUUUAGUCCUGCUCAGUUUAUAAUUCUUUUUAUAUGUUAAUGGAUUUUGUGCGCUGGUAGUUUAUUGAGGAUUUUUUGUGUCUAUAUUUAUCAAGGAUGUUGGUCUUUAGUUUUUCUGUGAUAUAUUUGCCUGGUUUUGGUAUCAGAGUAAUAUGGCCUCAUAGAAGGAGCUGGGAAGCAUUCCCUCUAUUUAUACUUUUUGCAAGAGAUUGUGAAAGAUUGCUAGUAAUUCUUCUUUAAAUGUUUGAUAGAAUCACCAGUGAUGCCAUCUAGGCCUGGGCUUGUCUUUGUAGGAAGUGUUUUGAUUAUGAAUUCAAUCUCCUUAUUUGUUAUAUAUCAAUUCAGAUUUUUAAUUUCUUUUGAGCCAGUUUCAGUAGUUGUGUCUUUCUAGGGAUUUGUCCAUCUCGUCUAAGUUAUCUAAUCUGUUGGCAUACAGGGGAGUGUGUCAGCUGUAGGUCCACCUUUGUCCUCUCCUUAUGCACUCCUCCAGAUAAAGGUUGUGGAGUCUUCGAAUGGUUUUUCCCUGAGAUCAGGAUGUAAAGUGGAAUGCCUAGAACAGGGGAAGAAGGACUCUGCUCAGAGCUCACAAAGUACUCAGGAACUAGGUUUUUCAAAGGCAGGAGGACUAAGGGAGGGGAACCUCAAAGCAAGAGCGGGUGACAUUGAAGGCACAGUCAGGAAGACUCCAGGGAGACCACGCUAGCAGCUGCCAUGAGGGCAGAACUUGGGAGUGAGGAAGAAAUAAUCAAAGAUUUUCAGGAAGUUUUGUUGGGCAGUAAAACUCUUGUGGGAGGGACCUUGGAGGAAAUUCACAAUGCAGUCUAAAUUAUUUGUUAAAUAUUUCCAAUUUAUACCUUUGGAAGUGGCCCUGCUCAGAGGCUAAACCUUG